rnacentral:rRNA from 1 species
CAGUAGCCGCGGGAAUACGAAGGGGGCUAGCGUUGCUCGGAAUCACUGGGCGUAAAGGGUGCGUAGGCGGGUCUUUAAGUCAGGGGUGAAAUCCUGGAGCUCAACUCCAGAACUGCCUUUGAUACUGAAGAUCUUGAGUUCGGGAGAGGUGAGUGGAACUGCGCGUGUAGAGGUGAAAUUCGUAGAUAUUCGCAAGAACACCAGUGGCGAAGGCGGCUCACUGGCCCGAUACUGACGCUAAGGCACGAAAGCGUGGGGAGCAAACAGGAUUAGAUACCCCUGUAGUCCCUGUCUCUUAUAC